UAUAAUUGUUGUAGUUAUACCCUUAAUUAUUUUAUUCAAUUCAUAAACCAUGACCAGGAUAUUGCCUGCAGUACCAUUUGGACACUAGGUCAAGACUUUGGUUUGGUUUACAGCUAGGGUUAGGGUUACAAUUUUUCCUCCUGACACUACAGGGGUCUGGGCCUUCACAAACUGGCCUAGAAGGUAACAAAACACUACCCUCUGUAGGCCACUUUUCUGCCAUGCAGGGUUCAGACCUGCACAAGAAGGCCUUGGAGACCGAUUGUUUAUUGAACGACUGGGGAAAGAAAGGGCUUUCCAUUUUCCAUUGGCCAGUGCACAAGACUUCUCGGCUGCCACCAAUGGCAUUAGAGGGUCUUCCCCAAACUUUUAGCCUAACCAGCCAGUGCCAGAGGGCGGCCUUCCAACUCCUCCAUCACACCUAGAGUGCUAAUCCACCACUUUCAACAUAAAGACAAACUUCCACCUUAAAAAUAAUAAACACAGUACACAUGUCAUUCAUACACUACACUUUUUUUCUUUAUUUUUUCUUUUAGGAUUAAAAUAAAUACCGUUAAACAGUAUAGAAGAAGAGGGGCUCAAAACAUGAUGGGUAAAGACAAGGACCAAUAGUUGAAUGCCCCAUCACGCCUCUAGGGGGUAUAUAAAGCUUUUGAGUUUUACAAUCUGUUUGGUUUCCAUUCCCUCUGAGGAAGCACUGAUGUGCGAAACGUUAGGGAGAAACUGAACAGAAAUUCUAAUUGUGGAUUUCACUGGGUGUUUGUUUUUUGCCUUUUAUUUUGAGUGGUUUUAAAGAAGAAAAGCCCAUUGAUAAAAAUAAAGGUAUUUUAAACUGGUUAACAGGGGGCUCAACACCUACAAAAACAAAAUGGAGGCACCAAAUCAAAAUGGUGUCUGCAGAACUGGAUAAACAAAAGAAAAAAGAACAAAUUCUAACCUCUACCUGGCUUGAGAGAGACCUAGGUGGGAGAACACGACAGCCUCCACAGCACCAGAUCUACAGCGGGAGAAGACCAGAGGUCUCAACAUGAAACUACUAGAAUGAGCAGAGCAGCUCCCUGGGGCCCCACCUACAGUCUUGGACCCAACUUCACAAGCACAUUGUUCUACUCAAGGGCCAGAAGGAUCCGGGCCUUCAACUCCAGCAGUACAAGGGAAAAAGGUUCCCCACUUGUAAAAGAUACUGAUGGGCAUAUGAUGAAGGGAGAUGCAAAGGGGAAUUCCCCAAAACUGCAAACCCAAUCUGAGCCCUCCCAUUUUAACAACAUUCCCACUACUCACACCAAGGAUAACUUCUCUGACUUCACCAUUACAUUAGAUGAUAGCCUGUCACAGGAGGAGGCGAACCAACCUCAACUCCUGUUGAAACCACAUCGUCAUCCAAACACAGACAGAAAAAAGAUUGGAGUCUCACGGUGACAAAACCCAUCUUGAUUAUCGGAGACUCCGACAUCAGUAGAAUCCCCCAUUACACAGAUUCAUCAAUACAAAUUGACAGUUUCCCAGGGGCCAAUUUCCUAUAUAUAGGAAAAAAUUGUCAGAAAUUACCACCAAACCCACACAUACAGAAGAUCAUACUUUCAGUGGGAAUAGAUGACCAGCAACCCUACAAAACAGCGAUCAAACAAUUACAGUUUAUGUGGAGAAUGGCGGCAGCAGGUUUCCCCAAUGCAAGCUGGUAUACAUCUAUCAUUCAAUUUUCAGAUCACCUUUCAUUCCAACACAAACAAACCUGACAACUCUGAAUACAUAUAUUGAACACCAUGGUAACCCUCUGCUGGAGCUGGACAAACUACUGUUCCACGUUGAUCCCAGGGAUAACAUCCAUUGGACGCCAACAACGGCCUCACAAAUCCUUGAAUAUUGGCUGGAACAAUUAAAUUGGUAGAGCGGGGAAAGUGCGAGGCAUCACAACAGACACACACCAACAUAUUUAAUUUAUCAAAAACCCUGGCACUUUCCCAGUCGGAGUUGUUGCGUAAGGGCCUUCUGUAACACAGCGUACAAAGGUGACACUGUUGCUAAAGAAUAUUUAUAAUAGAACUCAACUCACAUAUGGACCAGAUAUCAGAAGACCAGACUCAACUCAGGAGGAGAGGAGAAUGCAGUGCCGUGACAACAGCGAAAUAACCCACAGAGACUGAAUUUGAAAGUUGGCUACAGGACUUGACACUUGCUACUGGUAAAGUAAGCUAUCCUAAAUUCCUAAUAAA